GCCAGUGUGGCAUAGUGGUUUGAGUGUUGGACUACAACUCUGGAGACCAGGGUUUGAGUCCCUGCUUGGCCA